UACGUAGGGGGCUAGCGUUGUCCGGAAUCAUUGGGCGUAAAGCGCGCGUAGGCGGCCAGAUAAGUCCGGUGUGAAAGUCACAGGCUCAACCUGUGAAUGCCGCUGGAAACUGUCUGGCUAGAGUCCGGAAGGGGCGAGUGGAAUUCCUGGUGUAGCGGUGAAAUGCGCAGAUAUCAGGAGGAACACCGAUGGCGAAGGCAGGUCACUGGGCCGCAACUGACGCUGAGGAGCGAAAGCAUGGGGAGCGAACAGG
rnacentral:rRNA from 1 species